rnacentral:tRNA from 1 species
GGGGAUGCAGCUCAGUGGCAGAGUACAUGCCCCGCAUGUAUGAAUCCCUGGGUUCAAUCCCCAGCACCA